AUGGCUCCAGCGGCAGCUGCAGCAAGUCUCCCGCCUGCUCAGAGGGGCCUGGAGGUCCCGGUGCAAGUCCUGCUCUGCCGCCACCCACCUCAGGCAAGCUCCUUCUGGGGGGCCAGGCACGUGCUCCUAAGUCCCCAGCCUGCCUCGUAUCUGCACUGGAAACCAGCAAGUGGCCGUCCCUCUCGGAGCCCCCUCCCCGCAGAACCCGCUCAGCGCAGCCCAGCGACCCCCAUCUCGCCUCGGCAGCUGGUGAAUCACAACUCGGGCUGGCGAGCAGGUGCGUCCAGGCUGCCGCCGGAGCAGCAGGAGGUGUGGCUCCUUCUCCAAACAGAGAGGACCUGGCGGUUCAGGGCGGCCAAGGGUGCACAGGGCAGGGGAGGGAGGGGGGUGAGCAGGGCUGCGGCCAAGGGAAGGCGGAGGCACCCGGCCUUCCAGGAGCGCUUACGUUUGGCCAUUCAAGCCACGCUGAGGCCCCACUGCUGCUCUCCACACGGCGGUGACAGGGCGACAGGGCGACAGGUGUAUCUCCACCUGAUACACAGAGGGGUUGCGCCGCGAGGUGCCCCCCGCGAGGGGUCCGCCGCAUCCUGCAGGGCUCCCCGGAGCCCACGCCAGCGCUGGCCGCCCUCUGUGUCCCCUCGCCCAAGGCGGCGCCGUCCUCGUCCUCGCUCGGCCGCCGGCUGUGCUCGUUUGCGGAAAAGGAAAGCGAGCUGUUCAGUAAGGGGGGCCGGGGCCGGGGUAGAGCCGGGGUGCCUGACACCGCGGCGCCCAGCAGGUGAGGCCGACAGCCCAGCAUGAAGCCCAGGGAACUGCGUGGGGCCCCGGCGCUUCACACCCCGAGCCACAGAACGGGCUCGUCUGGGCCGUUCACUCCGGGGCGCGGGCGUCUGCGGGUGACAUGCCCUCGUCUUGAAGUCAGACCCUCGGGCUCCGCACUCAGUGAGCUGCUGCAAUGUGAAGCCCCCCCCACGUGCAAAACAGACCUGACAAGAGCUGUUCUGUUUAACGGAGGAAGAUGGGGAGCAGCGCUUCUUCACCAGCCCAGACUCACGGCUCUCUGGGCACGGUCUCUGCAGAGCCGCGGCGGAGCCGCCGACCCCACCCCACCUCUUCUUAAUAAAUGGGUAACCCGGGGCACCAGGGGGGCUCAGGGGUUGAGCAUCUCCCUUCAGCUCAGGGUGUGAUCCUGGGGUCCUGGGAUCGAGUCCUGCCUCGGGCUCCCUGCGUGGAGCCUGCUUCUCCCUCUGCCUGUGUCUCUGCCUCUCUCUGUGUGUCUCUCAUGGAUAAAUAAAUAAAUAAAAAUCUUUUAAAAAAUAAAGUAAAAUAAAUGGGUCACCCAUGGCCAGGUGGUGGAUUAGGACAGAACCCUCAAGGGGCUCACUCGAUGUUACCCAAGGGGAAUAUCUUUGGCCGCCCUGCCUUGCUUCCAGAUGUGGGUAAAGGACAGAGGCCUUUAUGGGGAUGAGACUUGCCUGGACUGAGAGGAAGAGCCUGGGUUCCUGGCCCCGGGCUCUGCCUUUGGUGCCUUUGGGGCUCGGCUCUGCGUCAGUCAAGAUGAGUUGGCUCAAGAUGCAGUAGCAGGUAUCCCCAAAAUCUUAGGCUCAAAACAACAGAAGUUUAUUUCUCUCUCACACACACAAUCCAUUUCCAGGCUGGGGUCCUCCAGGGUCACAUCCCCCAUGAGGUGGCUCCACAGUCGAGCGGUGUUAAUCUUCUGGGGCUUCAGGGGUGGCCAGAGCAGAGAAGGGACAGGGGCUAUCUAGGUCCAAGCUGCUUUCAUCCAGAGGUGAGACACAUCCUUUCAGCUCACAUUUCAUCGACCAAAGAAAGCCACAUGAUCACAGUUAACCCUGGAGCGGGGCUGGAAUCAUCACAGGAUGACGGUGUGUAUCCUCCCUGAAAAUACCACCCAUGUUUCUAAGUCACCGAAGUAGGCGAAGUGAUAUCCACAUUAUUCCUUCACCCCUUCGUGUAUGUGUUCAACCCACUAGCAGUGAUGUAGGAUCAGAACUCGGGGCUCCUAAGCCAGGCCAGGCCCUCCUUCUCAUGCCCUCCACCAGCCUGGCUCACAUUUUGGCCUUAGUUUGCUUUCUCCCUAAAGCAGAGCCUGAGCCAAGGACUUGGGUCCAGAAGGUUUACUUGGAGGUGAGUCCAGGAGGCCACAGUGAGGGAGCAAGAGAGCAAGACCAGGAGGCAGGGGUGCCAGCCUCACGUGCAUGAGUCACCAGCGUGGGCAACUGGUGCCCUCUCCCACCAGGGACCCCCUGAGGAAUGGUGUCGAAUGCACCUGAGCACUGUCCCGUGUGAUGCGAGGCUACAGCAUGCAGCCGCUGACCACUGCUCCCACUGAUGGAGGCUCGUCCCUGAACAAGUGAGCACCCACGGUUCAUGGGGACGGGGCUGCAGCCACCCUCCGAGGGGGGCAGAGGGCCGAGGAGUGCAGCACCAGCAGCAUCUGCCCUUGGUGCUGAAGGUAGUGCCACAUGGAAACCCAGGACAAACAGCCUCACGCUGGCCCCACGAUGGAAGUGAACGUGUCUCGGGACGGCUGCUGAGCUAUUUUCUCUCAACCUCCUGUCCUGAUCUGGAAGGAGCCAAUGCCUCCACAGGGAAACAGUGAAGAACAGCACCGCUGUGGUGCCGACUGACCCAGGGCGGGAGCAGGAAGGCAGGCAGCCACAGGCACAGGGAGGCCAGGAAGGAGGUCAGCAUGGCGCAAAGCAGAAACAGGUCUGUUGGAGCAGUGCCCAUGCAUGGCCUGUCCAGGACUUCCAGGAGCUGGGAGACGCCAUCCCUGCCCUUAAAGCCUCCAGUCUCUCAAGAACCUUCCCUGGCAAAAGGCAACAUGGUGCAAGUGGAAAGUCCCAGCCUUGGAGACAGAUGCCCCGAGUUCCAGUCUGGAUACCAUGUUCACUGCACGUCUGCAAAGGCAGACACAGAGACCAGAACACUGUUGGUGCUGCACCUUGUUCCAGCAGCGGGGGUUGGCUCGGCGGCCACUGUACUGAAGCUCUUGAUCUUGCCUCGCAAAGCGCCAGACCCAACUCGUAGCAGGCUCCUCCUAGUCCAAAGUUCCUCCGAUCCCACAUUUCUGGAAGGAACCCCAAAGCAGCUCUCCUGUUGGGGACACCCACAGAAGGACCUUCACCCUCUCAAU
rnacentral:lncRNA from 1 species